AAUAGUAGUGGCUCUGAGCUGAAUCCUGCAAUGGGAAAUGCUGACGGUCUCCUACUACGUGAGGAACCCUUCUGUUAUUGAAAAGAUGGAAGAACAGCUUAUUCACAUGCAUGUUUCCAGUAUAUUUGUUAAUUUGAAAGCUGUAAAGUUUUUGGAGCCUAACAUUGCAGGAGCAAAKCAUGGCAAGGAGAGGAGAAGGCUGCGAGAGAGGAAGCCCACGUAAGCCUACACCGAGGUCGCUGGGGAGCAGGCUGUGCAUGCGGGCCCUCUGUCCUGGGACCAAAGAACAAGCGAGUAAACGAAGGGCGGCGAGUGUUUCGGUGCCCGCGGACGGUUGGGCACCCGCCGUGCCUGGGACCCUCCUGCUCUCCUCCCCUCGCCCCAUCCCUGCCCUGCAGUGCCUGCCCGCCUGGCACGUCUGUUUGCACCAUUGCAGCGGGGAACCACAGCAGGGAACGGAUUCAGACAAAAAAUCAUCUCCAAGAAGUAAAAUAAAAGGCUGUUUUUCUUCCAGGGGAAAUGCUGGGAAAGUUGUGGAAAACAGAAAGGAGAAUUAG
rnacentral:lncRNA from 1 species